UCCUGUCUGAAUAUGGGGGGACCAUCCUCCAAGGCUAAAUACUCCUGACUGACCGAUAGUGAACCAGUACCGUGAGGGAAAGGCGAAAAGAACCCCGGCGAGGGGAGUGAAAAAGAACCUGAAACCGUGUACGUACAAGCAGUGGGAGCACAGGUUUACCUGUGUGACUGCGUACCUUUUGUAUAAUGGGUCAGCGACUUAUAUUCUGUAGCAAGGUUAACCGAAUAGGGGAGCCGGAGGGAAACCGAGUCUUAAUUGGGCGUUAAGUUGCAGGGUAUAGACCCGAAACCCGGUGAUCUAGCCAUGGGCAGGUUGAAGGUUGGGUAACACUAACUGGAGGACCGAACCGACUAAUGUUGAAAAAUUAGCGGAUGACCUGUGGCUGGGGGUGAAAGGCCAAUCAAACCGGGAGAUAGCUGGUUCUCCCCGAAAGCUAUUUAGGUAGCGCCUCGUGAAUUCAUCUCCGGGGGUAGAGCACUGUUUCGGCUAGGGGGCCAUCCCGGCUUACCAACCCGAUGCAAACUGCGAAUACCGGAGAAUGUUAUCACGGGAGACACACGGCGGGUGCUAACGUCCGUCGUGAAGAGGGAAACAACCCAGACCGCCAGCUAAGGUCCCAAAGUCAUGGUUAAGUGGGAAACGAUGUGGGAAGGCCCAGACAGCCAGGAUGUUGGCUUAGAAGCAGCCAUCAUUUAAAGAAAGCGUAAUAGCUCACUGGUCGAGUCGGCCUGCGCGGAAGAUGUAACGGGGCUAAACCAUGCACCGAAGCUGC
rnacentral:rRNA from 1 species